rnacentral:rRNA from 1 species
GACGAACGCUGGCGGCGUGCUUAACACAUGCAAGUCGAACGGAAAGGCUCCAGCUUGCUGGAGUACUCGAGUGGCGAACGGGUGAGUAACACGUGGGUAAUCUGCCCUGCACUCUGGGAUAAGCCUGGGAAACUGGGUCUAAUACUGGAUAUGACCUUUCUCCUUAUGGGGUUUGGUGGAAAGUUUUUCGGUGUAGGAUGAGCCCGCGGCCUAUCAGCUUGUUGGUGGGGCGAUGGCCUACCAAGGCGACGACGGGUAGCCGGCCUGAGAGGGUGAUCGGCCACAUUGGGACUGAGAUACGGCCCAGACUCCUACGGGAGGCAGCAGUGGGGAAUAUUGCACAAUGGGCGGAAGCCUGAUGCAGCGACGCCGCGUGAGGGAUGACGGCCUUCGGGUUGUAAACCUCUUUCAGCAGGGACGAAGCGUAAGUGACGGUACCUGCAGAAGAAGCACCGGCUAACUAUGUG